AGGACGAACGCUGGCGGCGUGCCUAACACAUGCAAGUCGAACGAGAAAGUGGAGCAAUCCAUGAGUAAAGUGGCGCACGGGUGAGUAACACGUGACUAACCUACCCUUGAGUGGGGGAUAACCUAGAGAAAUCUGGGCUAAUACCGCAUAAUACCUUCGGGUCAAAGGAGCAAUUCGCUUAAGGAGGGGUCGCGGCCGAUUAGUUAGUUGGCGGGGUAAUGGCCCACCAAGACUGUGAUCGGUA
rnacentral:rRNA from 1 species